GGGUAGUAAUGGUAAUGAUAACAGUUUAGUGAUGGUGGUAGUAGUAGUGGUAUGGGUAGUAAUGGUAAUGAUAACAGUUUAGUGAUGGUGGUAGUAGUAGUAGUGGUAUGGGUAGUAAUGGUAAUGAUAGCAGUUGAGUGAUGUGAUGGUGGUGGUAGUAGUAGUGGUAUGGGUGGUAAUGGUAAUGAUAACAGUUUAGUGAUGGUGGUAGUAGUAGUGGUAUGGGUGGUAAUGGUAAUGAUAGCAUAGUAGUGGUAUGGGUGGUAAUGGUAAUGAUAACAGUUUAGUGAUGGUGGUGGUAGUAGUAGUGGUAUGGGUGGUAAUGGUAAUGAUAGCAUGAUGGUGGUAGUAGUAGUGGUAUGGGUAGUAAUGGUAAUGAUAGCAGUUUAGUGAUGGUGGUGGUAGUAGUAGUGGUAUGGGUGGUAAUGGUAAUGAUAGCAGUUUAGUGAUGGUGGUGGUAGUGGUAUGGGUA
rnacentral:lncRNA from 1 species